rnacentral:rRNA from 1 species
AUUGAACGCUGGCGGAAUGCUUUACACAUGCAAGUCGAGCGGCAGCGCGGGGGCAACCCUGGCGGCGAGCGGCGAACGGGUGAGUAACACAUCGGAACGUACCCUAUCGUGGGGGAUAGCUCGGCGAAAGCCGGAUUAAUACCGCAUAAGACCUGAGGGUGAAAGCGGGGGAUCGCAAGACCUCGCGCGAUUGGAGCGGCCGAUGUCGGAUUAGCUAGUUGGUGAGGUAAAGGCUCACCAAGGCGACGAUCCGUAGCUGGUCUGAGAGGACGACCAGCCACACCGGAACUGAGACACGGUCCAGACUCCUGCGGGAGGCAGCAGUGGGGAAUUUUGGACAAUGGGGGAAACCCUGAUCCAGCCAUUCCGCGUGAGUGAAGAAGGCCUUCGGGUUGUAAAGCUCUUUCGGCAGGAACGAAACGGUGGAGGCUAAUACCUUCCAUCAAUGACGGUACCUGAAGAAGAAGCACCGGCUAACUACGUGCCAGCAGCCGCGGUAAUACGUAGGGUGCGAGCGUUAAUCGGAAUUACUGGGCGUAAAGCGUGCGCAGGCGGCUUUGUAAGACAGGUGUGAAAUCCCCGGGCUUAACCUGGGAACUGCGCUUGUGACUGCAAGGCUUGAGUGCGGCAGAGGGGGGUGGAAUUCCACGUGUAGCAGUGAAAUGCGUAGAGAUGUGGAGGAACACCGAUGGCGAAGGCAGCCCCCUGGGUCGACACUGACGCUCAUGCACGAAAGCGUGGGUAGCAAACAGGAUUAGAUACCCUGGUAGUCCACGCCCUAAACGAUGCCAACUAGGUGUUGGGGAAGGAGACUUCCUUAGCACCGUAGCUAACGCGUGAAGUUGGCCGCCUGGGGAGUACGGUCGCAAGAUUA